AUUUAAAAACACUAAAAAUGCCACCCACCCUACUUUCUUUAUUUUUAAUACAUCCCUGUACUAAAAAUUAAUAAAAUGGCUCUCCUCAAUUUUCAGGAUGAUCCUCUCCAUGUCCUUUACACUUUUUCCAGGACACAUCCGGGAAGACAGAAUAUAAAUGCAUUUUAUAUUGUGCACCCAAAGAAUUGGCAGUAUUUUCAUGACCCUUCCAGAAUAUACAUAUUGUGUUUAAUGGCUCUCCCCUUGAGUCUUGUCAUAUUUUCUGGUGACAUUCCCCAGAAUCCCUCUGACCUUACACCAGUGUAUGAAAUAAGGCCCUCCAACAGCCCUGGGCUAGAUUUCUGCCAGACGGUCUAAUUUUACAGCUAGCCAGCCCGAUGGACGGGUGAAAAAAAUAUUCAAAUAAAGUGACCACUGGCACUGCCUAUAUAGUAUUUAAGAAGGACUGGUUAAAUCUCUUCUGGGCUGGUAAAUUUUUGAAGUUACCAGCCCAGAUGUCUGGCUGGGUUUGAAGAACCGUGUUAGAAUUCAUAGAGGCGACUAACGGGAUUGGGUGGUCAGGCUCGCUGACUUGGUUGACACAUGUCAUUGUAUCCCAAUUGUGUAGGUCAAUGCUCAUGCUAUUGAUCACUGGAUUGUCUGGUCCACACUCGAUUAUUUACAGACAGCCUCCAUAUAGCUGAGAGCGACAUAAAACUAAACUCACUCACUCAUUUCCUUAAAUGGAGCCCUGCAAUGACAUGCUCUGAUAUUACUGAAGUAUUGUUCAAAGUGGCAUUGUGCCAAACUCAUUUAACCCUCAAAGUGUUCUAAAAGUUUGUCAUGACGAACACCCGGGUUUGAUUCCCCACAUGGGUAUAAUGUGUGAACCCCAUUUCUGGUGUCUCCUGUAUGGUAAAUAAUGACUGCUCCCAAAGAAAGGUGUUUCUUUACUCCCAGUUUCUGUAUGCAAGUUUCAGGUGAAUGUUCUGAAAAUCUAACUCAUGGUAGCAUGUGUGUAAGUAUCUAUUGCAGUACAAUUAUAUAGAUGUCACCAAAAGGUCAGGGUAAAUGACUUGUGUUAAUUCUCGGAGUUUGUAAGUGAUGGAUGAACUUGAAUGAUAUUGUGGAUCUUGUAUUGCAUUUAUGAUAUGUUUAUGAGCUUAAAGAAAAUAAAAUUUUCCAUCUAAUGAUUUUUUCCCCUUUACUGAAAAGAUGUCAGCGGUAGGUUAUUGGGCAGCAUCAGAUCAUGUUCGGCAAAGGCAAGGUCACCCAGCAGAAAUAAUACAGCAAAGGGAGAAAACCCAGGAGGGAAUAAUCAAGACAAGACCAGUAAAAAUCAAGUUGAAUACGACAGGACUUCACACAGACUGGCCCUCUGAUGCCCAUUUUGCUCCACUCUUGUUCCUCUUGUUUCUUGUCAUGCUUUAUAUAGGCCAUGAGCCAGACAUUUUUUCGGUACCACUCUGAGGGACCAAAUACUUUUAUGUUUUUUUGAAGUUGUUAUGGUUUCUACAUAUCAAAGAAGUAUGAUGGCCAUGUCGGUUUGGUAGCUCAAACUCAGAACGAGGCUACAUCCAAGAUGGCCGCCAAAAAUAAAAUUAAAAAAAUGUCAAUUCCAAGCUUGAAUUGUGAGUAAAGUUUAGCAAAUAGGUUGGAAAUGAAAAUAGGGAGGUACAAAUAGUGCGAACAUGAUUAAAAGGAUUUAAUUAAUAUCAAGUUGUGUUAUUUGAUACGUUUAAGUCAUAUACGACAGUUGAGACGGCUUCUUACUUCAUCAAAGAGCAAAACCAAUAUCAUCCAGUUCAUUGUUCAAAAUCGCUAAAAGUUCAUUUAUAUCAAGAAGGUUGCUGCGCCGUUUGGUCAAAGCGUUUGCAAGACCUGUCCAGGACUACACGUAUAUACUGAAUGUUAUACUGUCAGUUCUUUUGGAGGCAGAGGGGAAGGUCAAUGCAUUCAAACUACUUCAACAGCAAGGGAUAUCAAGAAGCUUUCCAACAACUUGGGAAUGUGUGGCCUGUGCCACCAGGUUUGAUCAACUCACUUCAGGUAUUCACAUGCCGCCUGUAUGCCUCAAGUUCUUAAAUAAGGGAUGUCAAUCAAUUGCGCUACCACUUAUUUAAGGUGAGAAAAGCGGCAAUUGAAUCAGGACAAUAGCCACCCUGCUUUGAUUGUCUAUCUAUGCCCGUCCUGAGAGCAAACUAUCAAGCUGCAAUAUGGAACAACUGUCUGGGAGCUGAAUAUCCAACUUCACGGGAAAAAGAUGGUCAUGGAUGGGUGGAAGAAAAUGAUCAGAUAGAGAUUUGCUGGAUGACAGGAUCUAUUGCUCCAGAUGCUGUUCUUGAGUUAAUUUUUUUGCAAGUACACAACAUUCUGUAAACUGCCAAGUUGUCAAUGCCUUACCAAUGGACUGAAAUGCACUGUGACAUGUCGGAACCAGACUUGUGUCAAAAUGGUCUGCGAGGACCAUGACACGCCGGAGAGUGAUACUGAUGAUGAAGAUGACGUUUGAAAAUGUUGGGGUUUUUUGGCGACCAUCUUGGAUUUAGCCUCGUUCUGAGUCUGAGCUACCAAAUUGACAUGUCAAUCAUACGUUUUUGAUAUAUAGAGACAUAAAAGAAUAUAGAAAACACUAAAACAUUUGGUCCCUCUGACUGGUACAAAUAUGUCCAUUUUCAGCUCAUGGCUCAUGGCCUAAUAUAGCACUGUGGGUGAAAAUCUGGAAAUAAAUAAAGGAGCACUUGU